rnacentral:rRNA from 1 species
GACGAACCGUGCAAACGUUAUUCGGAAUCACUGGGCUUAAAGGGCGCGUAGGUGGUUGAUCAAGUCUGGGGUGAAAUCUUUCGGCUUAACCGGAAAAGUGCCUUGGAUACUGAUCAGCUGGAGGGAGGUAGGGGCAGUUGGAACUUCCAGUGGAGCGGUGAAAUGCGUUGAUAUUGGAAGGAACGCCGGUGGCGAAAGCGAACUGCUGGACCUUUUCUGACACUGAUGCGCGAAAGCUAGGGGAGCAAACGGG